GAAAUGCGAUAAGUAAUGUGAAUUGUAGAAUUCAGUGAAUCAUCGAAUCUUUGAACGCACAUUGCGCCCGCCAGAAUUCUGGCGGGCAUGCCUGUUCGAGCGUCAUUUCAACCCUCGAGCUCCCCUUUCGGGGGGAGCCCGGCGUUGGGGACCCGGCGCUAACAACGCCGGCCCCGAAAUGGAGUGGCGGCCCGUCCGCGGCGACCUCUGCGUAGUAACAACCACUCGCACCGGGACCCGGGCGCGGCCACGCCGUAAAACACCCCACCUUCCGAAUGUUGACCUCGAAUCAGGUAGGAAUACCCGCUGAACUUAAGC
rnacentral:misc_RNA from 1 species